rnacentral:lncRNA from 1 species
UCAUAGUCGGUCAUCCCGACUCUGUGUUGGCAGCUAACGAUGGACAAGUACAGUUAGAUUGAUGAAUGAGCUCCGGUUCAACUACUGUUUUUAUGAGUCUCGACACCCGACAUUCUGUCAGCACCAUAGACAUAGACAACCGACUGUCAAUCGAUAACCCGACUAGCUGUCGGCUUGACUUUUCAAGUGACUAUAAAGACUUGAUCUAGCACAUAGCCGAUGGUCAGUUGAAAUAUCAGAGUUACCGAUCGAUAGCCAAUCGGUAUAUUAAAGAUAUUGACAUACAG